GAAGGCAAUUGAUGUGAAAUUAUAGUAUUCUACACUGAAUAUUAUGUAGAUUAAUACUCCGCUUAUUAUCUGAUGCCUUA